rnacentral:rRNA from 1 species
GAAUGCGAUCAUACUAGCACUAAAGCACCGGAUCCCAUUAGAACUCCAAAGUUAAGCGUGCUUGGGCGAGAGUAGUACUAGGAUGGGUGACCUCCUGGGAAGUCCUCGUGUUGCAUUCC